rnacentral:tRNA from 1 species
AGGUAUUGUAGUCUAAUGGUUAAGGCGUGAAUUUGCAAAAUUCAAAAUAGCAGUUCGAUUCUGCUCUAUACCUA